CACAUCUACCAGACUCUCUGGGUCCCUUCACUUCCCGAGGGGAUUAGCAGCCGCUCACCUCUGCCUUGGGCCAAUGGAAUUGCACCGCCUUUGGGGUCUGCUCAGCCUCUAGGGGUCUUCACUCGGGAGGAGGGCGGGGCAGGUGACGCAGCUAUAGCCUCGGCUUCUGGGAAUGGGCGGGCCAUCGACCCGGGACCACCAGCGCCAACCCAGGCUCGCCUGCGAGUUUGCUCCUCCUGUGCUGUUUAAAAGUUAUCAAUGAGAAACACAGGUGGAGGCUGAGCUCUGAUGACUAUGGGAAGUACAGAGGGCCAGGAGCCUCUAACCACAGUUCAGAAGUAUAUGACACGCAGAAGAUGAAAUGGUAAACAAUUCAAUCGUAAGACAGAGGAAGCACAAUCUAAGUCUCUAGAGCAAACAAUAAAAACAAUUAACUUUAAAUAGGCAUA
rnacentral:lncRNA from 1 species